UAGGCAUUAUCGGUGCCAGCUCUCACUGGCUGAACCUGCUUUGAAGCAUUUUUAACAGCUGGAGGGGGGAAAAAACCCCUCUCUCCCAUUAACACCUGCAGAGUGGCAGGUAGACAUAAAUACAAACUGAUCUGUAGAAACCAGUAUUUACACAACUGAGACAGAUCAGUCUGAUGGGAGCCAGUCUUACUGUCUGCAGAAAAGCUGAGCUGACUUGUGCAAUGCCGGGAGUAGGAUGUGUCAGGUCUGUCUCUUUAUCAUUCAUCUGGGCAAGAAUCCAGCUACAACAGUCACCGUGCAUGCUUGGUACCUGUAUCAUCGUUGGUAAUCCCUCACAGUGGAGGAUGAUUUUUUUCCAUGAUUGCCUUAUCUGUGAGUUUGAGGAUGGCUGACAAAGCCAACCUGGGAUUAACAGAUUCUGUUGCAAUUCACACACGUGUUUCCCUGAGGGGUUGGUGGCUCUAGACUUUUUUGGUAUGGUCUGGAACAUGCUCUUUCUGCCACUCCUGCUUUUCCAUCUCCUCUUGUUGGCUUGAGGUUUCAAAGUACUGAGAUCCUUGCAGCAGACUUUUCCUCGAUUUGGAGCAAUCCUGGGUGAUAGUCUCCCAUGAGCUGAUGUCUGUCUUGCAUUUUUUUCAAGUUGGCCUUGAGGAUGUUCUUGAUGCAUUUUAUCAGCCCUCCUCUUGAGCAUUCACCUUGACUGAGCUGAGGGAAGAAAACUUGCUUCUGGAGUCGGACAUCCAGAUGAUAUGCUGGCCCAGUGAAGCUGAUGUCGGAUGAUUAUCACCUCAAUGGUCGUGGUGUUUGCUUGUGAGAGGAUGCUAAUUGGUGCAUCUGUGUUCGCACUGAAUUUGAAGGAUCUUCCACAGGCAGCAUUGAUAGUACUCCAGUGACUUGAGGUGACUCCUGUAUGUUGUCCGCAUCUCAGCUCCAUAUGGUAAGGUAAGGAUCACGACUGCUUGAUAAACCAUGAGCUUAGUUUCGAAUCUGAUGUUGCAAUCUUUGAACACCUGUUUCCUUGGGCAUCCAAAAGCUGCACUUUCACAUUUGAGGCAAAGUUUUUUUCAAAUAGACAAAAUCUAAAA